UGGGCAACCUGCCCCAGACUCAGGGAUAACCCCGGGAAAACCGGAGCUAAUACCGGAUACUCCGGCUGGAUCGCAUGGUCCGGCCGGGAAAGGUCCGCCGGAGAGGGAUGGGCCCGCGGCCUAUCAGCUUGUUGGUGGGGUCAUGGCUCACCAAGGCGACGACGGGUAGCUGGUCUGAGAGGACGACCAGCCACACUGGAACUGAGACACGGCCCAGACUCCUACGGGAGCA
rnacentral:rRNA from 1 species